ensembl:lncRNA
GUUCACUCUUGCCCUGUGACCACUCCAUCAUUGGAUGAGGACGUGGACAGCAGCCAUCAGUCGCUGCUUCCUUCUGAAUGUCUCGAGCCUUCACCCUACAAUGGCAACACAUCAUUAAAGUGUAGCACCUUAAACUCGGGAAAAAAACAAACUCAAAUUGAAAGGCGGCGUGCCUUUCUUUUGCACCAGCGUGCGCUGCUUGAUCAACAGCUAGAAGAGUUGGAUAAUGUGAGUAUCAUCUAGGUAUUUGUGUGGCCUCUCUCUUCAUUUUUACUUUAUGUAUUUUAAUACAACCUUUUAAAAACAUUUUAGUUGUCAUACAAAAAGAUAUUGAAACUGGUGAAUUAAGAUCAUUUUAAUUUUAUGUGCAUUUUUCUUUUGAAUUACUUUAAUUGUGGUAUAUGACUUAUAACAUUGUUUGUAUGUUUUUCAAUUACCAGGUUUCAGCUACUACCAUCUACUGCCAAAUUCUCAGAAAUGUAAAUUUCAUGGAUUCAUGCAGUAACUCAUGAGUUUAACCCAAAACUAAAAUCUGGACAAAGUCAGGUGGUUUUCUUCAUCUCUCAUCAUGAAAAUUAUUUAUUGGCCCUAAUUAAUGAAGGGAAUCAAGGAGUCAAUCUGAAUGUGUUAAUCAGUUCUGCAGUUUCAAUUCAAAUUGCAGUAAAAAAAAAAUACUGCAUUACUUGAAACAAAUUCUCAAUUGAUUUGAAUUGUUUAAACUUUAGUAUUUCACUGCCUGAAUCAUGCUGAUUUGUCUACAUUGGCAUUAUUGUAUGGCAUCAAUGUACAAUCAAAUGUGGAAAAGAAUCGAUUAUUUUUAUUUCUUUUAGUCCAAAGAAGAUACUUCGGCUGAAUCGAUGGAUGAGAGUAGUCAUACUGACUACAGUGAUGCUGAUUACAUCCCUGACUCUACUGGAUCUGGCUCUGAUGACAGUACAUUUCUGUCUUCUGAAAACAAACUACAGACUUUACGAUGGCUUCAAUUAAUGCCAGUUGAUAAUAGUUCAGUAAAAGAAAGCAGCUCAGCUCUCAGCCGAAACAAAGACAGUAGCACUGAGGAAGACUACACAAGAAGGAAGUAUAGACCAACAGGGAAAAAGACAAUCGGCCAAAAGAGAAAGAGGAACUCAUCACUCCGUCAUGAGAAAGUCAGUUCAUCUAUCAGCCCAGAGACAGCAGACCCUUCAAUUCAAAUAAUGUGUACCUCAAAUGAUGAAGAUCAUCAUGUGACUGGCAGGAGGAACUAUUGCCUUUAUUGUUCCAAGCCAACAUCAAAAAUCUCACGACAUCUCAAAACUGUUCAUCGCAAUAAACCGGAGGUUGCAAAAGCACUUUAUUAUCCAGAGAAUUCCAAAGAAAGGAAAGUUCGCCUUGCCACUCUAAGGAACAGGGGAAACUUUGCUCACAAUACAGAUGUAGUGAGAAAAGGAACAGGACAUCUUGUUGUACGAUAUCGAACAAAGAAGAUCAGACAUGCUAAGGAUUUUAUUCACUGUGCAUAUUGCCAAGGUCUUUACUCAAAAAAGACAUUAUGGAAACAUAUGAAAGGCUGUCACGAGAAGCCAAGAAAGGAUGCACCUGAAGCUGGCCGAAAGAGAGUUCGAUCUCUGUGUGCUCUGACCACACCUGUCAGCGUUGAGAUUAGUGAAGGCCUCCGGGAAAUUUUAACAAAAAUGCACUAUGAUGAAGUGUCACAUGCUGUUCAAGAAGACAACUGCAUCCUGCAACUGGGACAAUAUAUGUUCAACAAACUGAAGAAUAAAGGGAAUAAUGAGGACUACAUAAGGCAAAAGAUGCGAGAAGUUGGAAGACUGGUCCUCGAGGCUCAAAAAGUUACGCCACUCAAGAGAUUGGAGGAAUUUUUCAUUCCUAAGAACUUCCCACAUGUAAUAGCUGCAGUGAAGAAGACGGCAGGAUACAAUCCUGAAACCAAUGCUUAUCAAACCCCGUCUUUAGCACUCAAGCUUGGCCACAGUCUAAAAAAAAUAUCCAGUAUAGUUGAGAGUGAUGCUAUGAUGAUGGGUGAUAAUGUUAUGGCAGAAUAUGCCAAAAGGUACAGAUCAAUACAUGAUAGCAGAUGGGAGGAGUUCAUCUCCUCUGCAGCAUUAAACACCCUAAAAGAGGCAAAAUGGAAUAUGCCACAGAUUCUACCUUUUGCAGAAGAUGUGAAGUUGUUAAACUUCCAUAUGGAAAAACAGCAAAGUGUCGCAGAGAGAAUGCUGAGAAUCUCUCCCACUCCAGAAAACUAUGCUGCCCUAGCUCAAGUAACGCUUGCUUUAGCCAUUACAUUCAACAGGAGAAGAGCAGGAGAGGUGUCAAGAAUGUUGCUGACUGCCUUUAGGUCCCGUGACAAGUCAGUGUUGCAUGAUGAUGUGGCUAUCUGCUUGACUCCAUUUGAGAAGAAAAUGUGUGAGUACUUCACAAGAGUCGAAAUCCGAGGGAAAAGGGGUAGGAUGGUUCCUGUCCUCCUAAAACCAUCCAUGGUGAUGGCUAUGGAGUUGCUAGUUGAGAUGCGAGAGCUGUGCCAUGUACCCAGUGAUAAUGUGUUCAUGUUUGGAAGACCAGAAGCAUCGUCAGCCUAUCGAGGGGGCGAGUGUCUUAAAAAAUUUACUCAACUAUGUGGUGCCCAACAUCCUGAGGCACUGACUUCAACAAAGCUUCGAAAACAUAUUGCAACUAUGUCACAGGUCCUGAACCUUGAGGAAAAUGAUUGUGAUCAAUUGGCUGACUUUUUAGGCCAUGAUAUUCGCAUCCACAGACAGUAUUAUCGGUUGCCUCAAGGAACGCUGCAGCUGGCCAGAAUGAGCAAAGUGCUGCUGGCUAUGGAGGGGGGGACUGUGUCAAAGUACAAAGGCAUGACACUGGAGGAUAUCGAAAUUGACCCCGAAGAGACAGUGACACACUCCAAUGAAGCACCUUCAAGUGACACCUCUGAAGAAGAGUGUACCAACACUGAAAUGGAGAACAUACUGCCUGUCACAGACACACCUGCAUCUUUGGCGCGAGCACCUGCUGCUACUCAACCUAGACCAGGUUAUAACUUCCAAUGUCCAAAGAGAAUGAUGAUUUUAUCCUUUGCUCUUUGGGUAUUGUACCCUUUCAUUGCGAUCCGUAUAGGAAGACAAGGGUGUGAACAACCAGAAGAUCCUCAGUCAUUUCUCAGAGACAGAUGAUCAUGUGUUUGUCUGCUUAGAUCUGUCUUGAAUAUUUGAUGCUUUUCUCAUUUUACACUAUUACAUAAAUCUUCAUUUGUUUCUUCACAGUACGAGCAGAGAGACACAGGCGUAAAUGGACAACAGAAGAAGCUCAGGCAGUGGAGAAACACCUGAUGAACUUCAUCACAACAUUCACAGUACCUGCCAAGCACGAUUGCAUGCUCUGUCUGCAAAAUGAAUCGGAGACUCUGAAAGAUCGAACCUGGACGGAUGUAAAACACUAUGUGAGAAACAGAAUUACUGCCCUGAAGAGGCAAACAAGCAUUUAAAAGCUUUCCUAUUUCUAUCCUUGUUCAUUCACCAUGUUAAUUUUCAAUAAGGUAAGCUAAGCAACUUUCUGUUUAAUACUUAAUUUUCAGACUAUUUCUUGCCUUGACAGUUCUAAGAGGUGUUAUGUUUUGGUGAUGUCAGCUGUGUUUCAUAGUCAUUUGAUUUCAGCUGUUUUGUAGUCAUUCAUUUGGAAUUGGGGGAGGUACCAAUAUAUACAUUCAUACCUACCAUACAUACGUUACAUAAAUGUCAACUUUCCUGAAGACUCUAGGAGCAGCAGGACAUAAUUCAGAGCUGGAGAGCCUGUAAUUGUUUUGAAUUCAUUUUGCAAUUGUUGAUUUUGUUAUGAAAAGCCCAAUGUUGGUAUUACCUGUGUUCUGAUCCACAUGCAGGUCACGUGGAUCCCCUUUUCUUUUUUGGAACACUUUAUAAUUACUGGUACAACUAUCGUUCUGUUUUGUGUUGCUUCAGUGAGCAUUAAACUGAUUUCAGGAAGCUCUGGCCCUGCAUUGACAUGAAUCUCUAUAGUGGCCAUUUGCCAUAAACAAACAAAAAGUCCAAUUCAAACUUGACUAUCAUAAUUAACUGACUUAAAAGAAAUAAGACCCCAAAGAUAACUUAUAUUAGGAAAUGUGUAUAAUCAAGGUCCCCAAAGGUUUGUCCCUGAUUGUCCCCAAACUGCUGUUAAAAAUCAGACUGCAGAAAAAAGGCUUUAAAAAAUCAAAUCAAACGAUUUUGGUAUUAAGGAUUUUUUUCUGAAUCCAAAAAUGUUCGCACCUUCUCUCUAAACCAUUCAGAAAGUUGGGUUCGGAAAGGUGGGGUGUUCGUUCAUCCGCUCCCAAUUGUCGUCUAAGUAGGUAUGUGUGUGUGUGUGUGUGUGUGUGUGAACUCCUGAGUUGGUUUGGAUGAUGUAGAAAGUGGUAUCUUGCUUGAAAGGAGUCUGUUUUCCCCCAAUGUUUCCAAAAGGAAUGGAUUCGUUAUUCCCAGUCCCCCGGAAUCCCCCGGAAUCCCCCGGAGUCAGACAUUUCCUUGGGUGUUUCGUCUCAUUACGUAUGCAAACUUCACACAAAGCUCCGUUAUUUCUCUACUUGUAGC